CCUGAACAAGUUGUAAAGUACCAUCAGCCAUUAAAGAUUCACAACCAAACACCAUAGUAUAUCUCACCCGAUGACCUGAGAUUAGAUGAAUGACUAAUUUAGUAAGAUCUACAUUGUUAUUUCAUUCUUUUUUUACCAAUAUCAUGAAUGAUUACUCCUCAAAGGUUUACACUUUAACCAGAUUGCAAGAUGUCAGUGUCUACAAGCUAAAGUAGAUGAUUACUCUCAGUUCUAGGAAUAUAUGCAAGAUGAAGAACAUGAACUUGAUGUAAAAGGGAUCGCAGCCGCAAGGGCCUGAAAUUUGGGCAACUUCAGGUUCACAUCGGGAGCUACCUCUGCAAGAUAUCCAUCCACUAGAUUGGCCACCAUUGUCAUCGGGGUCAGUGUAUCCGUUCCGCUGACCAUCUGUCCCUCCUCAAUUAUGCAAGGAGAAGAUGCAAUUGGAGCAUGGUAUAUCGACAUAAAAUGGUCCAGAAUUCUCUGAAUGCAAUCGAUAUCGUAAAGAGUUUCCACUGUAUAUCCCAUGUUAGGUAUGAGCAGAUCAACAAGCAAAGCUUGAUCCAAUUGACUGCCUAUUUUUUUCUCCAAACUUUCCCUACAUGAUGGACUAGCAUGCAAAAUCAUAGCAGUUCUAAGAAGCCUAAGUAGAAAGUUGGUUGUGGUGACACCCUUUGCACUCGGUAGUAAGCCCACAAGCUCCUCAAGUAGGAGUCGUUGAUCUACCUCAGAAUUUGUAGAAGCUGUGAUUCCUGACGCAACAUGAUUCAUAUCAUUGAAACUCGAUUGAUUGUUGAUUAAGGGGAUAUUCUUCUUAGCAUAGUGUAUUAAUGAUGCAGCUAUAUUCUCAGAUUUCAA